rnacentral:rRNA from 1 species
UGGGGAAUCUUGCGCAAUGGGGGAAACCCUGACGCAGCGACGCCGCGUGCGGGAUGAAGGCCUUCGGGUUGUAAACCGCUUUCAGCAGGGACGAGGCCUUAUGGUGGCGGUACCUGCAGAAGAAGCUCCGGCUAAAUACGUGCCAGCAGCCACGGUAAUACGUAUGGAGCAAGCGUUAUCCGGAUUCAUUGGGCGUAAAGCGCUCGUAGGCGGUCUGUUAGGUCGGCAAGUUAAAUCCGGGGGCUCAACCCCCGUCCGCUUCCGAUACCGGCAGACUUGAGUUUGGUAGGGGAAGGUGGAAUUCCUAGUGUAGCGGUGGAAUGCGCAGAUAUUAGGAAGAACACCGGUGGCGAAGGCGGCCUUCUGGGCCAUAACUGACGCUGAGGAGCGAAAGCUAGGGGAGCGAACAGG